rnacentral:rRNA from 1 species
GACGAACGCUGGUGGCGUGCUUAACACAUGCAAGUCGAACGGAAAGGCCCUGCUUGCAGGGUACUCGAGUGGCGAACGGGUGAGUAACACGUGGGUGAUCUGCCCUGCACUUCGGGAUAAGCCUGGGAAACUGGGUCUAAUACCGGAUAGGAGCCAUUUUUAGUGUGAUGGUUGGAAAGUUUUUUCGGUGUAGGAUGAGCUCGCGGCCUAUCAGCUUGUUGGUGGGGUAAUGGCCUACCAAGGCGGCGACGGGUAGCCGGCCUGAGAGGGUGGACGGCCACAUUGGGACUGAGAGACGGCCCAGACUCCUACGGGAGGCAGCAGUGGGGAAUAUUGCACAAUGGGCGCAAGCCUGAUGCAGCGACGCCGCGUGUGGGAUGACGGCCUUCGGGUUGUAAACUCCUUUCGCUAGGGACGAAGCUUUUUGUGACGGUACCUAGAUAAGAAGCACCGGCUAACUACGUG